rnacentral:rRNA from 1 species
AGGACGAACGCUGGCGGCGUGCUUAACACAUGCAAGUCGAGCGACUGCGCUCCUUCGGGGGUGUAUGGAGCGGCGAACGGGUGAGUAACACGUGGGCAACCUGCCCUCAGCUCUGGGAUAACUCCGGGAAACCGGGGCUAAUACCGGAUAUGAUCACUUCGGGCAUCCGAUGGUGGUGGAAAGUUUUUCGGCUGAGGAUGGGCCCGCGGCCUAUCAGCUUGUUGGUGGGGUAAUGGCCUACCAAGGCGACGACGGGUAGCCGGCCUGAGAGGGCGACCGGCC